rnacentral:tRNA from 1 species
GCCACCCUAGCUCAGUUGGUAGAGCGACUGAUUCGUAAUUAGUAGGUCGCCGGUUCGAUUCCGGCGGGUGGCUCCA